AAACUCAUGGAUAAGAGGGGGAGGGGAUUUCAAUAAAGAUCAAAUAUAUAUAGAAAGAGGAGGUACAGUAAAUGCACCCCAUAUACAGCUCAACAUAAGCCCUUUGCUUGGUCUGUAUUGUGAAUUGGGGGACAAAA